rnacentral:rRNA from 1 species
AUUGAACGCUGGCGGCAUGCUUUACACAUGCAAGUCGAACGGUAACAGGCCGCGAGGUGCUGCCGAGUGGCGAACGGGUGCGUAAUGCAUCGGAACGUGCCCAGUCGUGGGGGAUAACUACUCGAAAGAGUAGCUAAUACCGCAUACGAUCUAUGGAUGACAGCGGGGGACCGUAAGGCCUCGCGCGAUUGGAGCGGCCGAUGUCAGAUUAGGUAGUUGGUGGGGUAAAGGCUCACCAAGCCAACGAUCUGUAGCUGGUCUGAGAGGACGACCAGCCACACUGGAACUGAGACACGGCCCAGACUCCUACGGGAGGCAGCAGUGGGGAAUUUUGGACAAUGGGCGCAAGCCUGAUCCAGCAAUGCCGCGUGCAGGAAGAAGGCCUUCGGGUUGUAAACUGCUUUUGUACGGAACGAAACGGCUCUGGUUAAUACCCGGGGGUAAUGACGGUACCGUAAGAAUAAGCACCGGCUAACUACGUG